UCAUAAUUUUGAUCAAGAUGUUCGUUAUUACAAUUUGUUAUUAUGGAUAUUUUUCUAGUAUUAUAAAUAUUGAUAAAUUGAUUGACUAAUUGAUUGAUUGAUUGAUUGAUCGAUUAGAUAACUGAGGUGUUUCUUGACAGCUAGAUAAUAAACAAGUUAAUCAGGUUAUUGAGAUCUUCCUUGAUAUGCACGAUGACAAGUAAGGAGAAGACGACAUCCAAGAGAAUAAUUGCUUUUUGUAACAGUUUGCUUCAGCACAUUUUAACUCUUUAUUUUAUUUCAUAAAUAAAUGUAUGAUUUUAA